rnacentral:lncRNA from 10 species
UCUCCCAGCUGACAGAUGACUCAUCAUGUCAUUUAAGUUUGUCAGUCAAUGGAAACCAGAGCUCCAAAGUCUCUGUCCAGGACUCUCCCCAGGGAAGCUAUUAAGGAAAAAGCUGCCUUGCCAGACAUUUCUGUCCAGCUGGCCUAACUGGUAUGUGCAAGGGCAUCUGCUUAUACUCAGGGCCUGGCAUGAGGAGAGGGCCCUGGAAGGGUGCUCAAGAAGGUUUGCCCUCAGUUUUCCUACCAUUUGCUAUGUACAACAGGCAGGAGAGAAAAUAGGCUUAGCUACUAAGAAAGCCAUAAGGAAAGCAAUGAGCACCUUGAAACAUAAACCGGUAAAAAGACAUUAAACUUUCCCACUGCAAAUGGAUCUGGGUUCACUCUUGGGCCUAGCAGGCUGAACACUGUGCAGUAGAAAAGAUUACAUUUGAGGACAGAGAUCUUGGAUUCCCACCCCAACCUGCACUUAGAUAUGUGAACUUAAAUUUUCCUAUAACCUCACAGACACUCAGUUUCUUCAUCUGUAAAAUGAAAAGAAACAAAACAAAACUGUCCUUGCUCUGCCUAACCUGUGGGUAGCCAUAAAUCAUAUGAAAG